GAUGAACGCUGGCGGCGUGCCUAAUACAUGCAAGUCGAGCGAACAGACGAGGAGCUUGCUCCUCUGACGUUAGCGGCGGACGGGUGAGUAACACGUGGAUAACCUACCUAUAAGACUGGGAUAACUUCGGGAAACCGGAGCUAAUACCGGAUAAUAUCUUGAACCACAUGGUUCAAUAGUGAAAGAUGCAUUUGCUUCAACCUAUAGAUGUAUCCCCGCCGUAUUAGCUAGUUGGUAAGGUAACGGCUUACCAAGGCAACGAUGCGUAGCCGACCUGAGAGGGUGAUCGGCCACACUGGAACUGAGACACGGUCCAGACUCCUACGGGAGGCAGCAGUAGGGAAUCUUCCGCAAUGGGCGAAAGCCUGACGGAGCAACGCCGCGUGAGUGAUGAAGGUCUUCGGAUCGUAAAACUCUGUUAUUAGGGAAGAACAAAUGUGUAAGUAACUAUGCACGUCUUGACGGUACCUAAUCAGAAAGCCACGGCUAACUACGUG
rnacentral:rRNA from 1 species